rnacentral:rRNA from 1 species
GAAUACGUUCCCGGGUCUUGUACACACCGCCCGUCACACCACGAGAGUUUGUAACACCCGAAGCCGGUGGAGUAACCAUUUGGAGCUAGCCGUCGAAGGUGGGACAAAUGAUUGGGGUGAAGUCGUAACAAGGUAGCCGUAUCGGAAGGUGCGGCUGGAUCACCUCCUUUCUAAGGA